UAUCUACAAAUCGAGCCGUUAAGAUUUGGAAGGGAAACGGGCAUUAGGAAAUAGAACUUAGACGAGAGAAAUAGCACGAGAGGUUACAAAGAAAUUUUAUAAAAGAUAAUAUAUUAAAUAAAAUUUAAGUAGUGUGAAUAAUAAAUGUAAAUUGUCGUAUCUUUAUUCAUAGAGAAACAUAUUUUCGUUUAUCACCUCAUCCAAAAUAAUAAAACAUAUUAUAAAAUGACAAUUUUUGGUUUAUAAUGGCAAGAAAACUACAAUUCGCAUUUAAAUGUGUGGCAUCACCGAGCGACAGAAAGACAAAUGUGAUUGCCAUAACCUCUAUCACAACUGAGAACAAUAAAAAAUGUGUUGCCAGAAAAUGAAAAAUUUGCAAGUAACCACAGCAGAUUAACAAAAACAGAAAGCUAUAAGAGAAUGAAAAAAAGUCUCAAUCAAAGAUUGACCAAGAAAGAAGAAUAUGGAUUAAAUGCACACAGGAAAUGAACAGAACGUAUUUUGAUGAAGAUGACAAUAUAACAUUUAAUGAUCUAUAUCUAGAAGAAGUAGUGGAAACAAACAUAGUAGAACCCACACAGAAGAAAAAAUACCAAAUAGAUUUAAAGUGUAUAUCAGAAAAAUUCAUGAUUGAAAAAUUUGUAUGUAAACACUCAAAUGCAGAACAAUGGUUGGAGACAUUUGAAAAAGAAUGUCGAAGAUUCGAAAUUAAAGAAGAUAACACAAAAAUUGAGAUUUUAAGAUUAUUCCUUGACAGGGCAUGUUUAGACUGGCACUCAGCAACACUAACAGCGUUGACAAUGGAGGCUGGUUGGAACGAAUGGAAACAGAAAUUCUUGAAAUCAUUUGCAGACAAGGGAUGAAGUACAAGUAUAUACACUAUAUCCUAUAGAUAUAAAGAAGGUUCACUAAUGGAGUACGCUAUGAGGAAAGAAGAACUACUACUGGAUAUGGACAACAAUAUCAGUACAAAGACUCUGAUGAUGCUUAUAGCAGCAGGAUUACCAGAAUUCAUAACAGAUAAAAUAGAUAGAAAAAAUUGUCAAAGCUCAACAGAAUUACUACAAGAAAUAAAAAAAUGUGAAAAUCUAGUAAGAACAGUUUUACAAAAAAGAAAGAGGAAAGUCAAGAUAAUAAGAAGAAAUUUGAAGAAAAGAAACCAUGUAAGAAUUGUGAAAAACUAAACAAAGGUAUUAGAUAUCAUUCAGAGGACUCCUGUUGGUUCAAAAAGGAAAA